rnacentral:rRNA from 1 species
GAUGAACGCUGGCGGCGUGCCUAAUACAUGCAAGUCGAGCGAACAGACGAGGAGCUUGCUCCUCUGACGUUAGCGGCGGACGGGUGAGUAACACGUGGAUAACCUACCUAUAAGACUGGGAUAACUUCGGGAAACCGGAGCUAAUACCGGAUAAUAUAUUGAACCGCAUGGGGGAAUAGUGAAAGACGGUUUUGCGGUCACUUAUAGAUGGAUCCGCGCCGCAUUAGCGAGUUGGUAAGGUAAUGGCUUACCAAGGGAACGAUGCGUAGCUGACCUGAGAGGGUGAUCGGCCACACUUGAACUGGUACACGGUCCAGACUCCUACGGGAGGCAGCCGUAGCGCCUCUUCCGGAAUGCGCGAAGGCCUGUCGGAGCAACGCCGCGUGAGUGAUGAAGGUCCUCGGCUCGUAAAACUCUGUUAUUAGGGAAGAACAACUCUGUAAGUUACUAUGCACGUUUUGACGCUACCUAAUCAGAAAGCCCCGGCUAACUCCGUG